rnacentral:rRNA from 1 species
AUUGAACGCUGGCGGCAUGCCUUACACAUGCAAGUCGAGCGCGAAAGGGGGCAACCCCGAGUAGAGCGGCGGACGGGUGAGUAACACAUCGGAACGUGCCCAGUAGUGGGGGACAACCUCGGGAAAUCGAGGCUAAUACCGCAUACGACCCACGGGUGAAAGCGGGGGACCGCAAGGUCUCGCGCUAUUGGAGCGGCCGAUGUCCGAUUAGCUAGUUGGCGGGGUAAGAGCCCACCAAGGCGACGAUCGGUAGCUGGUCUGAGAGGACGACCAGCCACACUGGGACUGAGACACGGCCCAGACUCCUACGGGAGGCAGCAGUGGGGAAUUUUGGACAAUGGGGGCAACCCUGAUCCAGCCAUGCCGCGUGCGGGAAGAA